UACGAAGGGGGGCUAGCGUUGUUCGGAUUUACUGGGCGUAAAGCGCACGUAGGCGGAUCGGAUCAGUCAGGGGUGAAAUCCCAGAGCUCAACUCUGGAACUGCCUUUGAUACUGUCGAUCUGGAGUAUGGAAGAGGUGAGUGGAAUUCCGAGUGAUAGAGGUGAAAUUCGUAGAUAUUCGGAGGAACACCAGUGGCGAAGGCGGCCCACUGGUCCGGUACUGACGCUGAGGUGCGAAAGCGUGGGGAGCAAACAGG
rnacentral:rRNA from 1 species